CACGCCCCCCCCCCCCCCCCCGGCCCCUCGCCUUUCGGUAACGAGCCCACCCGCCGCUCCCUCCCCGCCUCCCUGUCCCGCCCCUCAGGGUCCCCCCCGGCUGGCGAGGGCGAUCCCGGUCACUAGGAACGCUCCGAGCCGAAGCUGCGCGGUGCUGGGCUCCGGGGGUGGCGGGGCGAAAGCGGGGGUGAGAAAGGCGGAAAAAUCCCCAAAAUCGAAGAGCGGCUUUUCCGCUCCCCCGCCGCGGAGCUGGAGCUGCUAGUCGCGGGGACCGAGCCAAGGCUUGCACUGACACGUGCUGAAUUAAUCGUGGUUAAUUUAGCCCUUUGUUUUGCGGGGAGGAUGCGCUCGCGGCUGGGAGGUCUGACGGGGCCACGCUCGGGUCCCGAGCCUGGCUCUGUCACCGUCUCCCUGUCUCGUUCAAGGGGACAUUUCAUCCGCCUGGGAACCAGUUUUCCAACUUCGAAGUUAUAGCAAUACCUUACUGAUGAGCGUCUCACCGAAGUGCUGGUGAGGUGUCUGAAUGUACAGGGUGAGUGUGCACAAAGGCUAUGUGCGUGAAAGGUAGUGACAGUAUCUGCAUAUCUACAUGUGUAUGUAAAUGUAUAUAUGCCUGGAUGUACUGACAGUGACAAUGUCUUCUGUGCUUGUUACGAAAAAUUCCCAGUAGCCAAGUUCGAGAUUACAAGCCAUUUCUUGGAAGGGUUCCCAUGCUAUCUUGCUGUUUGUGAAUCACUUUGGGAGAGAGAAACACUCCCAAAAAGACCUGCCAGAAUUCAGAGCCCACUCCCCCUUCAAGCAACCUCUGUACAGAUUAAAUUUGCUAGACUGUUAUGAGGCAAUAACUUGGGUUCAUUUCAGCUACUAGUUCAGUAUUAAACAGCUCUCCAGCUAAUCAACUCCAUUUCCAGGAGUAACUCAGAGUCAAAAAAAUUCCUUUGGGAUAGAUUAGCCAUGUAAACCUGUUGAUGCAACUCUUUGCCUUUCACAGGUCUUUUUUCUUCCUUUAUUAAUUUUCUAGUUUUUCUCUCUGCUUUAGUUUACUUCUGUUGACAUUUGACAGUGCCAUGGAAUACAAAGGUACAUUGCUGCAUUUGCAAGUCAAAACUCACAUUUAAAUUUAAUUGAAUUAUUUACUCUUUCUUCACUGGGGUGUCAGGUGGUGGAAAAUUGAUCCAAUGCUGUGCCUUUGAUUUCCCAGCAACACUCAAAUUCCACUGCAAAUGACAAGAGACUAAGUGACAGAAGAUAUUAUUUAAUGAGGGACACAAUGCAUUUGAUAUACCAUUCCAAUGUCGUUUUAGAUUCAUGUAGUAGUCCAAGUGCUUUACAAAAAUAUAUUUCUUAGGUAUAUGUUUGCCACUUAGUGCUUGAAGAGACAAUAGCGAUCAAACACUUACUGAGGCACAUGGGAAGAGUAGUUUUGGUGCUGGAGGCUGUGUAACUGAUGAGCCAGGUCACUUAAACUGUUUUUGCUCAUGUGACAGCGACAUAAAGCUGCAACUAUUCUGCAGCCUUUUUGUCUUGAAAGGGGUAGCUGAAAGUUGCUACAACUACCAAAGUCCUCAGCAAAUUGAUUUGCAUCAUUGGUCUUUGGAGGAUUAAAGAAACGGUGCUGCAAUUGCAUUCACUGUGGUCUGAGUCACAGCACUAGUAUACCUCUCAGUGCUCUUCACUUACGUUGUACUGGAGUAGAGAUCAUGUCAGUCCUCGCAGAGACCAGAAUGAAAGACUGCAAAAGUAUAGCCAAGAAAAGGGGGUGGAAAUGGAGGAAGUGCCUGGUUUCUGCAAGGUGCUCCUAACUGAACUGCAUCAUUGCAGUUAUGAUGUGCUACUGUUACUUUUCAGUAUUUAGGUCAUAAAAGGUUAUUUUCUCUAGGCUGGUUCAGCUUGUUGGAAGGCUGUCAGUUCUCUUGUUCUCCCCAUGUUUUCAUAACACUAGAUUUAGGUUCUAAAUGGUACACAUUUUAGGACUCAGAAGCAAAGGAAAGGAGGAUGAAUUGAAAAAAAAUUUUGCAAAGGAAGAACAAUUCAUGUCAAAGGCCGGUUUUCAUAUGCACCUCCUGUACUUGCCAGCACGGGACAUCACAAUCAGGCCCUGCAGUUGUGCUGCACAGAAGCUCCUACUGGUUCAACAGAAAGCUGUGUUUGGAUGUGUAGGGGCAGCAGAGGGAAGUAAUCAGUUCAAGAUCUGAAUGUAGUUGUCACACAGGGAGUUCACAAUAGAUAAGGAGUAAAUAGGUGAACAGCUAAACUCUGACUCUGGAUGCAAGACUGAGACUCUAGCCUGGUACUGAUGUGGAGAAAAAUCCAGGAAAGUUGAAGUGGUAACUCUCUUUAAAACCAUCGGCAUUCAACCUAGUUGUGCAAAGAGGAGACACUAAAUGAAGCAUUACAUGGGACUACGAGAAGUUAGUAUCAGCGUGUUUAAUAAAAGUGAUCUAAUGGUAUGAGGGAGCCAUCCAAAGUCUUCUGCUGUGUUCCCAGCGUGAUUUGAAAAAACUAGAGAAUAAUUUCUGGAAUAAACUGAAACUUAAAAAGCUUGGAGUCAGCCUGUGAAAUCCUCAGGAAGGUUUUUUAUCCAUGGGUUUGUGCCGACAAGAGAAAAAGUCAUCUUGCAGAUGGUGGAGGAGAUUGUGUGUCUGUGUAAGCAGCAAACAUUCUGUUCACUAUAUGUUCACUGAGCUUUUCUGAGAGCACCAUUUCCAGGGGAAAUCUCUGUUGUAAUGAAAUUGCCUUCUCCAAGUCUGCCUGCCAGCUCUUUACAAAUCCUUUCCAUGUUGAUGCGCUUAAGCCCUCUGCUUUUGAUGGUCUUUUCCCUGUUGUAUUCAUGCAUAUUAUUUGUGCUUUGGUUCAUACUGAUCUGUAGCAGAUGGGGAAGUGGAGAGGAAAAGGAGUUUUUCCCACUUUAAUUGUCCUUAAGGUCAAAAUAUCUGCCCUGGGCUUCACUACUUUAGCAGAAAAUACAGGUUUCGUGUGGCUUCUGAGGACAAUGUGACAAGAAGGUGGUGCUGGACUGUGACUCUAUUCCAUUACAAAACAGCAGGUAACAAAACCCACUAGAUCUUGUGAAUAAAUUGCCUUUGUCACGUGACAGAAGAGGGCUGACUGGUCCUGAAAAGGAAAGCUUAAGAGCAGCACUUCAACUGCUUUUACAAUCGCAUUCCCGUAUCUCUUUAUUUGUCUUAUUAAAAUCCACAGACUACAUGAAUUCCAGUAAUUCUUUACUGUCUCCUCUCAAGAUCAUAUGGCCAUUUAACACCACCCUGCUUACUAAACAAAAGGGAAAUCAUUACCCCUGGUUAAAAACCCUUCUGCAAACAGUCUGAGGGUUGCUGUCCUUUAGCCAAAUAUCUUGCUGGUUGAAUUAUUCAAUGAAACGUGGCCAAGCAUCUUUCCAAAUAUGGAGAAGAAAAGCAUUAUAUUUCUCCCCCUUCGUGUUCCCCCAAAUACAGCUGGACAGAAUACAUCCUUGUACUCAGCCCACACAGUAUUUGUGCAGUGACAACACUGCAGUCUCACAUACCCCACAAUUUUUGGAGGAAUGCAGGUCAUUUUUGUUUUUACAGUAAAGAUGUUCUGUAAGUGACUUUGUGCCACAAAAGAAACACAACUGCAACUGAAACAUUAAGUCUGCAGAAAUCUUGGGGCAUUCUAAAUUUUAUCUGAACUAGAGAUAGGAACAGAGGUCAGGACGUGAUGUUACUGGGCUUGCUCUAAGCCUCUUUGUGCUCAAGCAUGCAGUGUCCAUCUGGGGAAAGAUCACACAACAUGGAACUAGCAGAACCAGACUUCUUUCUGCUAUUUCAGCCGUUGCCAGCGUACAGGAUUGCUCUGUGCUGUCCAUUUCCCUUUGUGGAUGUCGGGCAGUAUUUCAACAGGGGAUAUUUAAGACUCUGUAUGAGAAGCAAAGCUUGCAGGAAUAGUUUUUAUAGAGCACGAGGAGAAAUACUUGCAUUCUCAGAAAAUGACCUCUGAAAUCUGCCACCGACGAGCCUAAAAUACAGUAUUUUGGGGACAAGUGGCAGUCCCUGGUAGGUGACAUCCAAAGUCUUCAUGGUUUAAAUUAAAGCAGCAGAGCUAUUCCAGGAGAAGGGGAGGAAGAAGAGGCUCUGGGAAGUUACUUCUUCCUCUUUCUUCCUGUACUUUUUGGGAGGAAGGGCAGAGAGAACAGGCCCAGCUUCUGAGUUCUCAUCUCUGAGUGAGAACCUUCAUCUCCCAGUGCUGCCAGUGCCUUACCUGCCUACAGCUCUACAUUUUUCACUCACUGCCCCCAAAACCAUGACGGAGAUAGGCAGGACAGCAGUCUUGCUGCAGAGUCUGCCCUUGCAAGCUCCCUGCAGCGGGAUAUGUUGUUGGAACAAGCUGCCUCAGUAGCGUCUGACCAUUGAAUAUUUCUUUAGUGGCAGUAGUGAAAAAAGUGUAAAGGAAAGAUGAGGAUGUAUUUUACUUUUUGUACUGAGGUCUCAAAGCUAGGCAAUCAAGAUCUUAGUCACAAAAACUGAGUGGAUUUCUUCAGCCAUUUUAGGUCUCGGCCUUUGGCUUAAACAGAACAUGAAGCAACAUGGAUGGUGGAAUUGAAGAAUCUUCUGAAAAGAAGAUAUAGUCUCUAAAUUAUCACUUGUUUUAUCAGUAAAAAGUGGGCUAGAUACUUUGCAAUCCUUUUGAAUAGCAGUAAUUCACUGGUUUUGAUUAUUAUGAGAUAAAUUGUUCAGGGAUAGAUAGUUGAAGUUCAGACUUCCCGCAUGAAGUGUUUAAACACAAAAAGUUGAGGGCAGUCAGUUUUGAUUUAUACACACAAAUCCCAUUGACACCUCUGGGAGUUCUGACACAGACUGAAGAGAAUACAUAGCCCUUAAAUGAGGGCAAAAUGUCUGUCCACAUGACUUUGGAAAAAGAUUAUUACGUAGGAGGAUAAGAGUCAGCCUGCCAAAAAUUUCUCCUUUCAGGCAGAGGUCUGAGUGUUUUAGUCUUCAGCAGAGCAAACAAGCAUUUGAAUGAUCCAAGUAUGGGUUAUUAGUUCAAGCUAUAAAAAAGAAAAACAAGAUUCAUAUUGCUUCACAGUAUUCAGACAAUGAUAAAGUUUAGUCAUAGGAAUUUCAUCCUCACUUGUGGACAAGCACAGUGCACACUAAGAAUAUCAUAUGGCUAGCUUCCAAAAUAAAAUUUAAAAAAAGUAGUCAAAAUCAAAACAUCUGCUGGUCUCUGUCUGCACGGCAGAUGUUGAAUAUACUUUUAGGUUAAGCUCAUGAGAGGUCAUGAGACAUACUUUGACUAUAAGCACAAAGUCGCUCGUUGGCCUAGUACAGUCAUGCUACAGUGAGUGUCUUUUGCCGUAUUCUGUACCCCAAAGUAUGUGCUGUACGAUUUUUGUAAAGAUCUAGGCAGACAUUGGAUGUGAGAAAACUGUGGAAGGCUACUUGGGUCAUAAAAGGCAGGUUGAAAUACAGCAAAACUGAAGACUCUGAAAGCUCUGAUGUGGCAGGACAGAAGAUGCAGGCAAGGUCUGUAGAGUGAAGUCUGUUCAGGGCAGGUUUUGCUCCUGAAUAAGCUGACAGAGUCAAAGAAUAUGUUUGUUAGACAGGUUAUUCCAGGUUGCUUUUCCAAAACUUGCUGUAUAUUGUAGUCUUGAAACACAAAAGCACCAUCGUUCUUUGGCUCUGCUUGCUUACAGUGCACAGAUACUGCUCGUUGUACCUGCUACACAGGGUGUUCUGCACUAACACAGCAAAGUACAACGGUGCUCUGGAAGAAUGAUUAAAUUUCUCAACUCUCUUCCCUAUAUCAAAGCAUCCACAAAGAACCCAAGAAAUUAUCUUGAAAUGCAUGUUUGGAAAGUGUUUUUCUGAAGAGAGACUUUAGUUCUGACAUUUCCAGAGGUCCCUGAGUUUUGAGUCAGGGAGAGGAGGUUUGGGGCAUGUAGAGCAGUUCUUCCCUAUACAACUGAAACUCACAAGCAGGAGAAGUGUGGCUUUUCUCUGUGGAUAAGAAAGGACUACAGUCUCCAUGGAUAUAGCUUCCUUAUUAAAAUUCACACAAUUUAUAGUAUCGCUUAUGAAUAUCAAAUAUGGUAGAUAGUCAUUUAGGACACUCUGAUGGCAAUACUCCUCUCAGACAAGAAAUUAUCUUCAGCUUGGAAAAGAGAUAACUGAAAAGAGAUGUGAUAGGCAAAACAACAUGACAGAUAAUAAGUCAUGAGGAGAAACAGAGGUGAUAUGAAUAGGGAGUGACUUCACUGUUGUCUCCACGGCAAAGACUACACGGUAUUAAGUGAAAAUGGCAGGACCUCUUUCAACAGGAGAUGCUUCACACAACUGUGAACCUAAGCAAUUGAACUCUAAGCCAUGUAAUAGUGCAGUGGAUAAUAAAAGGUUGUGUGUAGAAGAACAGUGGAAUAAAAAUCAAUCCAAUACUUUAACACAGUACAAAGUUCUGUCUUCCAUCUCAGAAACCUUGGAGUUGCAUAUCCCAGAUUUUAAGAAAGUAUUAACUACACUAUUUUAGCUUUAAACUGUGAGAGUUAAAUGUGAGAGUUAAAAAGAAGAUUCAAACACAGACAGAUCAUGGCUUAUACUAUAUUCAUAUAAUUUCACUCUAUCUAUAUAUGAUAGCUCAUAUGCACAUUACUCAAAACAUUAUUUUGAAAUUGAGCCAGCCCAGGACUGAAGACAUGAGAAAAGAAUUGCUUUCAGAAUUACUGUGAUACACAUCUAGGACAGAGAGCUCUUGAAAACACAGUGCCAGGAGAAGGAAAAUAUACAAGGCUCGAGAGGGAACGUGCUCUCUUUUCUCCUACAAAAAAAAAAUAUGACUUCUGUCAGUAACUGCAGGAAAAGUAAGAAAAAAUUGAGCUCAGUAUGUUAAAAUGGGAGCAGGAAAAAAAUUAAACGAGAGCUAUAGCAGUAAGAAAGUCCAAGUUACCACUUCUGUUACACAUUAAUGAGAAGACUAUUGGGACAUCCCAGCCAACAGUCUUGUCAUAAUACUGGGACAGCUGUAAGAGUGUCAGCCUCCGUCUCUUUUCCAGACAUCUACUGCAUCAUUGUGUCCUAACAGCAGGUACACUCAGCACCUCAGGAGCUUAUAAACCCUUGUUUGAAGUCAUACAAGCAACCCUGCCAUGUCUACUUCAGCAGCCUGUCAGAAGUUAAGGCAAACAGAAAGGAGGACGUGCUGAGUAUUGGGUUUGGCUCCCUCGCCCACUUGAAAUCACACUAAAGGUAUAUGUGUUUGCAGCAGUUAAACCAAAAAAAAGAUUUGGAGUAAACUUAGUACUUCUUUUAGCAGUCUAACCCAUUUGUUUCAUGUGACUUUGUGGCUGAAGUGACAUUCAGGUUAUGUCCUCUUAUUUGCAAAGUCCAAAGUGUCUCCUUUCCUGUCUGGUUAACAAAAGCUAGCUAAGACUAAAAUUUCAGCAAAACAGAAAUAAACACCAGGGAACUCAAACUGAGACUGCAUGUUCUAGGCCUAAUCCUUCCAUGCAUAUUCAAGUGUGGUUCCUUUUUAUUUCAGAUGGAAAUUUUGUCAGAGUAAGGGCUAAGAAAGACCCCCAAAUUUGGACUAACUCUGGAAAUCAGUGAAACCAAUGGACAUGUGGCAGUUGGCAUUGUUUCUGAAUCCCAGAUUUCAGUCCGAAGCAAAUAAUCUAAAUGUUGUAUCUGUAUUGUGUUGUAUAGAGAAAAUAAUUGUCUUUCUGUCUUCAGGUACAUGUGUCCAUUUAAAGUGAUGGCCCUAAAGCUCUCCUGCUGGGGUGUGAAGACACAUCAGUACCUGAAUACUGUGUGUACGCCCCUUUUUCAUUGUCUGGACUCUGUAUAGUAAUCGUGCCUUACCUUAUAUCUUCCUAUUUACCUUUUCCAUGGUCUUGUAUUUUGUCUACCUGUCCCAAAGAUUUGCUUGCACGUGUGUCAGCAGAUCAGUAUUGCGUGACCAUAAAAGAGGCAGGAGCUAAGUGAACCUAGUUCAGUUGACAUAAGGUCUCGCUUCUAUUGUUUUUGAUGUUUGCCACUAGAUGAAUUUUCACAAGAAGUAAAGCAUGUUCCUCAAUGGGAAUAAAAGAAGAAACUGACAAUUUUAUUGUUUGUUUUCCAUGUUUUUAUACUCUAUUACAAAUAUCUGUUUGUAGUUUUUUUGUUUAUUUGUUUUUUACAUUUUAUUACCAACUCCUUUUCCAUUAACUCUUCUGUAACUUGGAAAUUACUUUUAUAGUUUAAUAAAAACAUAAGGCGAAAAUGU